AAUUUCUUCAAAUUUGAAGCAUGACGUUAAUGGGGUACCAGCACAACUUCAUUGACUGCUACGUGGCGCUGGUGGUAACUAAGGUAUUGCAUCGCUCAUAUCACUUGAAAAAAACAUUUACCCUAGUUACGACCAAAGCUGCUUAGCAGAGGGCGAUACCUCAUCAGGAGCGCCACAAUCAUAUCAUUGGUGUGAAAGCAUUUGUAUGAAGUUUUUCAGUUCUCAAUGUGUUCAAAACCUUAAUUGUGAAAUUGUGCACUUCGAAUUCAAAUUUACGUCACUACGUUAGUUUGACAUCCAUUGAUGUCACGGUAAUUUCACUGUUAUGCUGUGCUGCUUUCAGGUUUAAUGACACGAAUGAGUACAAGUACAUUACAUUUUUCGACGAAGGCCUUCUGUAAUUUCAUACACUUCUUACGCAACAUUCAAUAGAUUUAUUUACUGUAUUAUCAUUUCGACCAAGGCGAAUUCGACACUUCAGUUACACAAGGUUAGUAACUUUUGUUCACAAAAUCCAAAUGGAGGCAAAUACAGAACAAUCAAACUUAGUCAUUCCAGUCAGUUACUGAAGCACAGUGAAAACUGUCGGGAGCAAUGCAACUGAUGGCAUGUCAAACUUCCAGUGACUGUCCCUGUCCAUAUAUUUCAAGACAGUACAAAUCUUGUAAUCAUUUUGUUUAUGCAAUGUACGUUAUUAUGUAUCAUUUCAGCACAAUCAAACUUAGUCAUUCCAGUCAGUUACUGAAGCACAGCGAAAACUGUCUGAAUUAGUGCUGCUGAUGGCAUGUAAUUACUCUACUACCACUACCAGUGACAGUCAAUGUCCAUAUAUUUUCAAGUGUGCGAAAUUAGUACUCGUCUACUUCUUAGUGUUAUUUGAAUGCAAUGUAUGUCAUAAAAAUAUUUUUUCAACACUAUAUCAACAUUCUCAUUCCUGUCAGUUUCUGAAAAUCAGCUAAAGCAAUCGCUACCAAUGCAGCUGAUAACAGCAAUUCUUUUUGUUCCCAAUGCCCAUCCAUGACAAUAUAUUUCACGCAUGUGACAAUCAUGUAAUCAUCCUGUUUUUUGUGUUCUAUUCAUGCAAUAAAUAAAUUCAGUAUUUUCAAAUCAUUGGUGCUACAAAACUAUUCUCAUUAUAUAUUAUUCAUGUUUUAUAAAAUGCUGUCAUGUCAAAUUUUGUGUCCUAUAAAUCAUUAUGAAGUCGGCAUUUUAUAUACAACUUUUGUACUCCUCCUAAAUAAACAUACAAAUCUUGUUUUAUGUAAACUUUGUAUAUGUGACCCGUCACAGCAAAACCAGGCGCAUGUCGCUCUGAGCUUGGCAGGUUGAGACGGACUGUUCUAAUCUUUCAUUAGCGACACCAUUUCUUACCCGAGUGCCUCCUUCAUUCAUACAUCUUGUACUUUAACUCAAGAUACCCAUCUUUGAAUAUUUUUAGUAUACCAAGUACUACAAUGUCAAUGUAUUGAAGUCAUGUUCUUGUAGUGUUAUUGGCUUUCUAUUAUCUUGUCAAAAUACCACUUGGUUCUCGCAAAAUCUCAAUAAAAACAAAUGCUAUUGCAUGUAUUGCAUAUUCUAACAGCUAUCCACUGUAUCGAUUUAUCCAUCAUCUGUACUAUUUGUCACAAAAAUGUUAUAUUAUAUAAAUCAUAUUUCAUUACAUAAUGCUCACUGCCAAUUACUGCUGAACCAUUCAUAUGUCAUUUAAAUAAAUAAUUUUCAACUUUUUAAAA